rnacentral:rRNA from 1 species
GGCCGCGGGAAUCCCUUUCAGGCCUAACACAUGCAAGUCGAACGGAAAGGCCCCGCUUGCAGGGUACUCGAGUGGCGAACGGGUGAGUAACACGUGGGUGAUCUGCCCUGCACUUCGGGAUAAGCCUGGGAAACUGGGUCUAAUACCGGAUAGGACCAUCGUUUAGUGUCGGUGGUGGAAAGUUUUUCGGUGCAGGAUGAGCUCGCGGCCUAUCAGCUUGUUGGUGGGGUAAUGGCCUACCAAGGCGUCGACGGGUAGCCGGCCUGAGAGGGUGGACGGCCACAUUGGGACUGAGACACGGCCCAGACUCCUACGGGAGGCAGCAGUGGGGAAUAUUGCACAAUGGGCGCAGGCCUGAUGCAGCGACGCCGCGUGGGGGAUGAAGGCCUUCGGGUUGUAAACUCCUUUCAACCAUGACGAAGCAUUUUGUGACGGUAGUGGUAGAAGAAGCACCGGCUAACUACGUGCCAGCAGCCGCGGUAAUACGUAGGGUGCGAGCGUUGUCCGGAAUUACUGGGCGUAAAGAGCUCGUAGGUGGUUUGUCGCGUCGUCUGUGAAAUUCCGGGGCUUAACUCCGGGCGUGCAGGCGAUACGGGCAUAACUUGAGUGCUGUAGGGGAGACUGGAAUUCCUGGUGUAGCGGUGAAAUGCGCAGAUAUCAGGAGGAACACCGAUGGCGAAGGCAGGUCUCUGGGCAGUAACUGACGCUGAGGAGCGAAAGCAUGGGUAGCGAACAGGAUUAGAUACCCUGGUAGUCCAUGCCGUAAACGGUGGGCGCUAGGUGUGGGGGUCUUCCACGACUUCUGUGCCGUAGCUAACGCAUUAAGCGCC